UACAGAGGGUGCGAGCGUUGUCUGGAAUCACUGGGCGUAAAGGGCGCGUAGGUGGCGGCCCAAGUCCAUGGUGAAAGCUCGAUGCUCAACAUCGAGUCGGCCACGGAGACUGGGUUGCUCGAGCACUGUAGGGGCAGAUGGAAUUCCGGGUGUAGCGGUGAAAUGCGCAGAUAUCGGGAAGAACACCCGUGGCGAAGGCGGUUCUCUGGGACGGUACUGACGCUGAGACGCGAAAGCGUGGGGAGCGAACAGG
rnacentral:rRNA from 1 species